GACGAACGCUGGCGGCGUGCUUAACACAUGCAAGUCGAACGGAAAGGCCCUGCUUUUGUGGGGUGCUCGAGUGGCGAACGGGUGAGUAACACGUGAGUAACCUGCCCUUGACUUUGGGAUAACUUCAGGAAACUGGGGCUAAUACCGGAUAGGAGCUCCUGCUGCAUGGUGGGGGUUGGAAAGUUUCGGCGGUUGGGGAUGGACUCGCGGCUAAUCAGCUUGUUGGGGGGGUAGUGGCUUACCAAGGCUUUGACGGGUAGCCGGCCUGAGAGGGUGACCGGCCACAUUGGGACUGAGAUACGGACCAGACUCCUACGGGAGGCAGCAGUGGGGAAUAUUGCACAAUGGGCGGAAGCCUGAUGCAGCAACGCCGCGUGCGGGAUGACGGCCUUCGGGUUGUAAACCGCUUUCGCCUGUGCCGAAGCGUGAGUGACGGUAAUGGGUAAAGAAGCACCGGCUAACUACGUG
rnacentral:rRNA from 1 species